CCUACGGGAGGCAGCAGUGGGGAAUAUUGGUCAAUGGACGAAAGUCUGAACCAGCCAAGUCGCGUGAGGGAUGACUGCCCUCUGAUUUUUAAACUUCUUUUAUAGGGAAGUAAGUUUCAGUGUGUAUCUGGUUUUGUAUCUACCAUAUCAAUACGGAUCGGCUAACUCCGUUCCAUGCGCGGCGGUAAUACGGAGGAUCCGAGCGUUAUCCGGAUUUAUUGGGUGUAAGGGGAGCGUAGGCGGACGUUUAAGUCAGUUGUGAAAGUUUGCGGCUCAACCGGAGAAGUGCAGUGGAUACUGGGAGACUUGAGUGCAGAAGAGGAAGGCGGAAUUCGUGGUGUAGCGGUGAAAUGCUUAGAUAUAACGAAGAACACCGAUGGCGAAGGCAGCUUACUGGACUGUAACUGACGCUGAGGCUCGAAAGCGUGGGUAGCAAACAGGAUUAGAUACCCCAGUAGUC
rnacentral:rRNA from 1 species